UACGGAGGGGGCUAGCGUUGUUCGGAAUUACUGGGCGUAAAGCGCACGUAGGCGGCUUUGUAAGUUAGAGGUGAAAGCCCGGGGCUCAACUCCGGAAUUGCCUUUAAAACUGCAUCGCUAGAAUUGUGGAGAGGUAAGUGGAAUUCCGAGUGUAGAGGUGAAAUUCGUAGAUAUUCGGAAGAACACCAGUGGCGAAGGCGACUUACUGGACACAUAUUGACGCUGAGGUGCGAAAGCGUGGGGGGCAAACAGG
rnacentral:rRNA from 1 species